UAGCCAUGGUGGGGGCAUUCAAGUUGGUAGCUCUUGAAUCUCUCCCAGGCAUUUCUGAAUGAUUCCCGUGGGUUUUGAAGGAAUGUGGAGAUUUUCCUCCUUGCAU